AUUUGAAAUCUGGCCCUUUCAGGGUCCGAGUUGUAAUUUGCAGAGGGCGCUUUGGAGUCGGCAGCAGCCUAAGUUCCUUGGAACAGGUCAUCAUAGAGGGUGAGAAUCCCGUAUGUGGCUGCCUGCCUUCGCCGUGUAAAGCCCCUUCGAUGAGUCGAGUUGUUUGGGAAUGCAGCUCUAAAUGGGAGGUAAAUUUCUUCUAAAGCUAAAUAUUGGCCAGAGACCGAUAGCGCACAAGUAGAGUGAUCGAAAGAUGAAAAGCACUUUGGAAAGAGAGUCAAAAAGCACGUGAAAUUGUUGAAAGGGAAGCGCUUGCAGCCAGACGUGCCCGCAGUUGCUCAUCUGGGGUUCUCCCCAGUGCACUCUUCUGUGGGCAGGCCAGCAUCAGUUCGGGCGGUUGGAGAAAGACCUGUGUCACGUAGCUCUCUUCGGGGAGUGUUAUAGGGCAGGUGGAAUGCAACCAGCCUGAACUGAGGUCCGCGCAUCUGCUAGGAUGCUGGCGUAAUGGCUGUAAGCGGCCCGUCUUGAAACACGGACCAAGGAGUCUAACAUCUAUGCGAGUGUUUGGGUGUCAAGCCCGAACGCGUAAUGAAAGUGAACGGAGGUGGGAACCCCUCGGGGUGCACCAUCGACCGAUCCUGAUGUCUUCGGAUGGAUUUGAGUAAGAGCAUAGCUGUUGGGACCCGAAAGAUGGUGAACUAUGCCUGAAUAGGGUGAAGCCAGAGGAAACUCUGGUGGAGGCUCGCAGCGGUUCUGACGUGCAAAUCGAUCGUCAAAUUUGGGCAUAGGGGCGAAAGACUAAUCGAA
rnacentral:rRNA from 1 species